rnacentral:misc_RNA from 1 species
AACACAAAUUGCACUCUUCAGGUUUCUGAAGAGUAUACCUGUUUGAGGAUCAUUUAAAAUAAAAAAUCGAUCCGUUACCUUUGUUAACAUUUCGAAAUUGAGUUAUCUUUUGUCCCGGGAUUCAAGAGGCUUAAAAUUGAUCAUUUUUGGUAUGAUUUGAGCGUACUUAAGAUUUCUUUAUCAUGCUUAGUUAUGAAUACCAGAUGUUUUAUUAGGUGUAACCAUUGAUCAUGGUUUUGUGCCUAUAAUCAUUUCAUAAAAUGACCUCAGAUCAGGUAGGAUUACCUGCAGAACUUAA